CAACAUGUAGGGGUGAUCCUUGCAGAGUGUUUCCAGUGCAGCCCUGGACGACUUUCUUACACGGCAGCUAAAAAAGUGUGAAGGACUUGAAAAGAAUCAGCUUAUUAACUGAAGAAUUCCUGAAUGGAUGAAGACUUGAGUGGGAGGUGUCAGCUGAAAAGAUGUAGCUGCGUGUCUGUGGUCCAUCUGUGUGCUUCGAGGGAAGUUGUGACUGAGAAGAUAACAUGGGAAGGUGGACGAAAUGGCACUGAACUGCUACUCUGGGCAUCAGAUCCCAUGUUACCUAAACAUCAGAUCUGUGCACGUUGGGAGAGGGAACUGUUAUAUCAUUCUCCGUAUGGCCAAGGAUCCUUAUUUUUCCCAUGGCUGUAACGAAUGGCCAUAUUGAAAAUAAAAGACAUGGCUGGGGAGAUGGCCCAGAGAGAAAA